GACGAACGCUGGCGGCGUGCUUAACACAUGCCAGUCGAACGGAAAGGCCCAGCUUGCUGGGUGCUCGAGUGGCGAACGGGUGAGUAACACGUGGGUGAUCUGCCCCUAACUUCGGGAUAAGCUUGGGAAACUGGGUCUAAUACCGGAUAGGACAAUCGUUUAGUGUCGGUUGUGGAAAGUUUUUUCGGUUAGGGAUGAGCCCGCGGCCUAUCAGCUUGUUGGUGGGGUAAUGGCCUACCAAGGCGUCGACGGGUAGCCGGCCUGAGAGGGUGGACGGCCACAUUGGGACUGAGAUACGGCCCAGACUCCUACGGGAGACAGCAGUGGGGAAUAUUGCACAAUGGGCGCAAGCCUGAUGCAGCGACGCCGCGUGGGGGAUGACGGCCUUCGGGUUGUAAACCUCUUUCGACAGGGACGAAGCUUUGGUGACGGUACCUGUAUAAGAAGCACCGGCUAACUACGUG
rnacentral:rRNA from 1 species